CUCCCAGACUCCUACGGGAGGCAGCAGUGGGGAAUAUUGCACAAUGGGGGGAACCCUGAUGCAGCGACGCCGCGUGAGUGAAGAAGUCUUUCGGUAUGUAAAGCUCUGUCAGCAGGGAAGAAGAAAGACGGUACCUGACCAAGAAGCCCCGGCUAACUACGUGCCAGCAGCCGCGGUAAUACGUAGGGGGCAAGCGUUAUCCGGAUUUACUGGGUGUAAAGGGAGCGUAGACGGCAGGGCAAGUCUGGAGUGAAAGGCGGGGGCCCAACCCCUGGACUGCUCUGGAAACUGUCCGGCUGGAGUGCAGGAGAGGUAAGUGGAAUUCCUAGUGUAGCGGUGAAAUGCGUAGAUAUUAGGAGGAACACCAGUGGCGAAGGCGGCCUGCUGGACUGUAACUGACGUUGAGGCUCGAAAGCGUGGGGAGCAAACAGGAUUAGAUACCCCGGUAU
rnacentral:rRNA from 1 species